GGCAGGUAUUCCCAUGUAGGAUGGAUGAUCUAUUGGGACAGCUAGCAGGAGCUGUUUGUUUUCCCAGAUAGAUCGGAAAUUCGGGUACUACCUGUGAGAGUUAGAGUUAGUUUUGGGUUAGUAGUGAGAAGAAGCCAGUUAGUAAAGAUGAGAAGAGAAGAGUAAGAGCAGAGAAGGAGGAAGAUAGAGAAGGAUCAGAGUAGCGCAGCAGAAGCUCGUGGAGUUUAGGAACCUGGGAGUUCUUACUCCAGCGUUUGGUGUCUCUCUUUGGAGAGAAGCUUUAGGAUUCGCUUGCUUGCUUGCAUGCUUGUGUUUGUUGUUUUAACAUUCGGGGACGAAUGUUUUUGUAAGGGGGGUAGAAUGUAAUACCCGGCUAGAAUCCGGCAUCGGGAUUCCUGCCUUCCGGCCGAAUCUAGGGUGUUGGAUCUCUCUAGAAGAGGUAAAGUGUGUUUUCUAAAAUGUUUUUCACAUGAUUUCAUGGUUUUAAAGGGAAAUGAAUUUGGGUUUUGAAAAGGAAAGACCAAGGAGGCGUUUGCCAGGUUCGGCCGCCGAAAGUGAAGUUCGGCCGCCGAACAUGGAAAGGUUUCGGGAGUGCCUUUGGCCUCCGAAAGUCUUGUUUAAACGAGCCAAGGUUCGGCCGCCGAAAGUCAAGUUCGGCCGCCGAAUAUGCAUGAGUUUAGGGGGCACGUUAGGCUGCCGAAGGUCUUCGACCAGGCCACCUAUAAAGGGCCCUCAGAUCGGAAAUGGGUGAGUUUUCUCCCCAUUCUCGAGCUCAGGUGAGUUUAUGCCUCCCUUUGGUCGUUUUCGUGUUUUCUCUACCCAUCUCUCAAGUUUUUCAUGAUUUCUAC
rnacentral:lncRNA from 1 species